rnacentral:rRNA from 1 species
AUUGAACGCUGGCGGCAUGCUUUACGCAUGCAAGUCGAACGGUAACAGGGUGCUUGCACCGCUGACGAGUGGCGAACGGGUGAGUAAUGCGUCGGAACGUGCCGAGUAGUGGGGGAUAACGCAGCGCAAGUUGUGCUAAUACCGCAUACGUACUGAGGUAGAAAGUGGGGGACCUUCGGGCCUCACGCUAUUCGAGCGGCCGACGUCUGAUGAGCUAGUAGGUGGGGUAAAGGCCUACCAAGGCGACGAUCUGUAGCGGGUCUGAGAGGAUGCUCCGCCACACUGGGACUGAGACACGGCCCAGACUCCUACGGGAGGCAGCAGUGGGGAAUAUUGGACAAUGGGGAGAACCCUGAUCCAGCCAUGCCGCGUGUGUGAAGAAGGCCUUAUGGUUGUAAAGCACUUUAAGCGAGGAGGAGGCUACUCUAGUUAAUACCUAGGGAUAGUGGACGUUACUCGCAGAAUAAGCACCGGCUAACUCUGUGCCAGCCGCCGCCGUAA